GAAAAGGUGAGUGCGUGCUCAGCUGCUCAGUCAUGUCCGGCUCUUCAUGACCCUUGGACUUAGCCCUCCAGGCUCCUCUGUCCAUAAGAUUCUCCAGGCAAGAAUACUGGAGUGGGCUGCCAUUUCCUCCUCCAGGGGAUCUUCCCGACUCAGGGAUUGAACCCACGUCUCCUGUGUCUCCUGCACUGACAGGCAGAUUCUUUACUGCUGAGUCAUCAGGAAAGCCCACAGCAAAGGUUUUUUGGCUUCAAGGCAUUUGGGAAUCUUAGCUCCCCAACCUGGGGUCAAACCCACAUCCCUGCACUGGAAGGCAAAGUCUUAACCGCUGGACCACCAGGGAAAUCCCCAUAUCAACCUUUCGAUGCAGGAGUUCUUAACAUCCCCAUUCUUCAGAUGAGAAAGCUGAGGCUUAUGGAGGUGAAGACUUCUUGCUCAAGAUCAUAUAGCUCAUAAAUGGCAGAGCUGGAAUCUGAACCCAGCCUGUAAAACCCACUCACUUUCCCCCACAACAUUCUAAUCUUGUGAGGUAAGUAUUAC
ensembl:lncRNA